rnacentral:rRNA from 1 species
GACAGAGGGGGCAAGCGUUGCUCGGAAUCACUGGGCGUAAAGGGCGCGUAGGCGGUUUGUCGCGUCGGGAGUGAAAACUCAGGGCUCAACCCUGAGCGUGCUUCCGAUACGGGCAGACUAGAGGUAUGCAGGGGAGAACGGAAUUCCUGGUGUAGCGGUGAAAUGCGUAGAUAUCGUAAGGAAGACCAGUGGCGAAGGCGGGUCUCUGGACAGUUCCUGACGCUGAGGCACGAAGGUCAGGGGAGCAAACGGG